CUCCUCCUCUUUCUUUCCUCUCCCUUUUUCUUCCUGCGCCCGCGGAGUCGCCGAACAGAUGUCCGAUGACCUCGCGGGCUGCUGCUUCAUUGGUUUCUGAACCAUCCACGCCGCCCCUCACAGUGUUACUUUGCUUGAUCUGGAGUCUAGGCUGCUGGGACAUCUGCAGCCAUGUUGCAAUGGCAAUGGCCUUCGCUGUAUUGUACGAUCGGCGACUGUGAACCGCAGAUUGCCAAUGGUUUAUUUUUUUUAUUUUAAUUUUAAUUUUUUUUUUUAUGGUUGGGCUUUAUCUGGUCGAUCUGUUCUCCUGUACUUUGUUGUCUUGGGCGCCUUUCAUCUGUGGAGAUCUGUGCGGAAAAGCAACAGACGACAAUCGAUUGAGGCCACAGGGAAGAUCAGUGGGUGAGUCUUCUGAAGCCAGAGUGCUUGCUGAGCCCUGAGUGAUGGAGGGUUGCAUCGCCCUUUGACCCAUUAAGACAGACUGCCUCAUUCCCUUUCCCCAGUCAAUAGCAAAAUUGCUGCACUUCUUUUUUGAUAUUGGUGUACACCUGCAGGUCGACCAAGUCGGGGUUUCAUUCAGAUUGCAUGCUCAACAUGUCAGGGUUGAAAGUGGCGAUAGCCAUAUGCAAUUGAUGCAGAGCACUGGUUAUCGACCUCCAGGUGGCUUUCAGAUGAGAAUGAAUGCAUCAGCAGUCUCAGAGAAGAUUCAGAGAUCAGAGGGAUUCAUCUGUUACUUUCUUCUCUGUGAAAGAUGAUGAGACAACUGAAACCUCUGCAAUGAGAGCAACUAUAAAGAGUGAUUGAUGUAAUGAGCAUACUUCAAUUAACAAUUUGGUACUAUUCUAAUUACAGAUUAUGAAUUGAUUAAGAAAAGAAAGAGAAAAGAAAUCAGAAGAAAAGAUCAUACAAAGAGAAUUCUUAUAGAGAGAAACUCAGAGUGAAAGAAUAUCAGAAGCCACUUCACAGUGAAGUAUGAAGUAGAAGAAUAUUAAAAGAUAUGUAUAAGAAUUAUUAGAAACUAUACAAGUGUGAAGUGUGAGACAGAGAAAUCAUUGAGAGCUACACAGAAGAAUUGUUAAAGACUAUACAAAUAUGAGAUAUGAAAUGAGAGAACAUUAAAAGCUACAUAAAAGAAUUGUUAGAGACUAUAUGAACAUGAAAUAUGAAGUAGAAAAAUGUUAAAAGCUAUACAAAAGAAUUGUUAGAAACUAUA
rnacentral:sRNA from 1 species